GGUCAGUGAUGAGCAGUAAAAGGUCUGAUUUCCCACAAUCCUCUGCUGCUCCUCUGGCUCCCAGCAGCCAGCUCUUUCUCCCAUCAUGCUCCAGUGCUGUUGUGAUGGUCCAGCUGCUGCUGACAUACAGGAAGUGACAUCACUGAGAGUCUGCACAGAGAAUCUGCAGCCUCUCUGAUGUCAGACGUCCCACAGAACCAAUCAGAAGGAGUUUAACUGAGGAGGAGGAGGAGGAGGAGGGAGCUGAUCUCCAGUUUUCAACCUGAGACC
rnacentral:snoRNA from 1 species